rnacentral:lncRNA from 13 species
GUUCUGUCUUGUGAUUCUUAGAGCAUGUUAGAAUUGUUCUGACUCUGGAGCAAGAUUAGGUCAUUUCAGAUGUUUAGCCUAUUUGUUGUCUCAACUGCUUCAGGGAGCUUUUUGGGAAAUUUCGAAACACUGAAUGGUUGUAACUUCCGUGUCUCCUAGCAUUAUUUGAACUUCUGAAUCUCUGUUUGACUCACAGUCCUUCAGUAGCUGAUUCUUCCAGGCAUCAUAUUUUUUUGUUCUGUACACUUACAGCUAUGUAGUUGGCCAAAUGCUUAGAGAAACUUCUAGGCAGAUUCUGGUGUGCUCCCUUUUUGCUCUCUUCAGAGAUUUGCAUAUUUGAUUUGCAUAUUUGAGCUAUCUCCACAAUACUAAACUCUGCUACAUGCUUUUUAUGCCAGUGAAAUUGCUGAUCUCUGUUAGCAUUUCACUCCUCAGUGCUGUUGUAUGAAAUUGGUUCUAAGACAGAAAGUCCAGAAAGAAAAUGUCCUACAGUGCUUUUACCCAGUGAGCAUGAAGCUCUGGGGUAUAAAACCCAGGCUGGACUGCUUUCUGGGUUCCCACAGGUGUGUUGCAAGUGAUGAUACACAGAAAAGAUUUCCUCUGCCCCAGGCAGCUUCCCUGAGCCUCACAGGAUCUGCUCACCAUGAAACCCAGGCUUCUGUUGUCCCUUGGUACCUAUCUGUCUGUAGGCAAGAUGUCUCGGUACGUCAUAGCUGA